rnacentral:rRNA from 1 species
AGGACGAACGCUGGCGGCGUGCUUAACACAUGCAAGUCGAGCGGAAAGGCCCUUCGGGGUACUCGAGCGGCGAACGGGUGAGUAACACGUGAGUAACCUGCCCUGGACUUUGGGAUAACCCUCGGAAACGGGGGCUAAUACCGGAUAUGACACAGCUUCGCAUGAGGUCUGUGUGGAAAGUUUUUCGGUCUGGGAUGGGCUCGCGGCCUAUCAGCUUGUUGGUGGGGUGAUGGCCUACCAAGACGACGACGGGUAGCCGGCCUGAGAGGGCGACCGGCCACACUGGGACUGAGACACGGCCCAGACUCCUACGGGAGGCAGCAGUGGGGAAUAUUGCACAAUGGGCGGAAGCCUGAUGCAGCGACGCCGCGUGAGGGAUGACGGCCUUCGGGUUGUAAACCUCUUUCAGCAGGGACGAAGCGAGAGUGACGGUACCUGCAGAAGAAGCGCCUGCCAACUACGUGCCAGCAGCCGCGGUAA